rnacentral:lncRNA from 1 species
AAAAUGGAGAACUACAGGCUCGGAGGUCGCUCUGCCUCUCUGAGGCGGGGCUCCACGGCGGCCAAUGAGGCGGGACCACGAGGGCUCCAAAACACCCAGGAGCGGGCGGGAGAGCCGGUACCGUUUUAGGGAUUGGCCUGAGCUACCUAAAACCACCUGGCAUCUUGUUGAGAAGGCUUCAGCACCACCUUCAUGUCACAUGCCCCGAGUAUCAUCAUUUGGCGUCUCCUCUACCAACACCAGAAAAUACACCUUAAAGCAUGAAGAAAAACCCAAAUCUAUACAGUGAAAAAGAAGAAUCAGUAUAAACACACAGAAAAGCUUAAAAGGACAUGGACUAUUCCAAAUUCAACACAUUCUAGGUGCUUUUGUGGUCUUAAUUACACCUCAAAUAUUAUUCUGGUAUUAUGUAAGAUUAUGUACAUAGGCUUUUGUAGUCCCUAGCAAGUAAGUGAUCAAUAAAUGGUAACCG